rnacentral:misc_RNA from 1 species
AACCAUUCUCACCUGCGGCUAGACCUGCGGAAGGAUCAUUAUCGAGUGUAACUUACCCCCUAAAAAAGGGUAGUACCUCCCGUCCUUUGCAGGCCCCCUUUUUAUGGGGGCCUUUUUUUAAGACUUUCUGCUUCGGCGGGGUUACUCCCGCCGGAACACCCUCAAAAAACUCUCAAAAAAAACCGUUCAGUCCGAGAACUUUUUAAAAAUAUAAAAAAGAACUUUCAACAACGGAUCUCA